AAUCAACCCUCUCCGCGCCUAACCCUUUGCACACCGACCUUCCCCACCGGACAAUAUUUAAGGAUCAAGGUCCCAUCCUAGAAAGAGGUCCCAACGCAGAGCCAGACCCCGGACGCCCCGUAACAAUAGCGCUCGCCUCCUCGGGAAAAUUAAAAACCCUGCUUCUGCCCAGCGAGCGCUGCCCAGACCUUGGAGUUGUCCGUGAUCCCCGGAAGCGGAGGCAGCGACAGCUCAGACAGCCCCUCUUUGAAGAAAGGAGCGAAGAGUAAAUAGCCCGGUGAUUGAUGGGCUGCCUUUGACUGCGGAGAAAGCGCUAUUUUCCUUCAAGUGGCCAGGUCAGAUGGUCACGGAAGAAGGUUGAAAGCCGGACGCCCCGCUCCCCCGGCGAGCUCGGUGCCCUUUUACACCGAUUUCAGAGGACGCAGACUGGGCGGGUGAGUGGCUGAGCAGGAUACAGAGAAUCCCUGCCCAGCGCUGGGGGUGCCACAGUCGCUCGCCCGGAUCCCCAUGGGCAAGCUGGGUGCAUGCCCGCAGCAGGUUUCAGGCUUGGGCAAAGCUAUUCCCCGCGCCCCGGGGCAGGAUCCGACUCGCGUUCCUCCCCGGGAAACUCGGGCCUUUGGGAGAAACGAAAGCCCCGGAGGCGGGGAGAGGAGCGCACCUUCUGCCUCGGAGACUCGCUUUUGGCCCAGGCGCGUACAACCGGGGGCAGGAGGAAGCUGGGGAGGUGUCUGCCAGGCACCCAGAAACCAGCCGGGGCGAGAUGGCCACGUGAAGACUUUCUUAGGCUCUGCCGCCACCCCUCUUUCCACCCGAGUCCGAAUCCAGCCGGGGCGAGUGUCCACACGCGCGCGCGCCGGGGCUCGAAGGGGGCUACUGGAGGGGUUCGAACUGGGCUGGACUUUCGGCACUGGACUUCGAAGCGGCGCUGCAGGCGACACUUUGCGGCCAGGAUCCUGGCUUGACCUCCCCCCCCCCCCCCCUUCGCCAGCCCGAUUGGGGCAGCGGCUUUCGGGGUGGGGUUUUUUUGCGCCCCCGGCAGCUUGUCAAAACAGGAGGUCGCCUCUCCCUUCUCAAGUCGGGAAGCAGCUUAAAAGGGCUAGGAGAGGAUGGCGGAGCCGCUGCUGUCUCCUCCCGAGGAUUUCGGCACAAACGCCGAUUGUUUCUGUAGGGAGAUUACUCUGAGAAUUAUUUUUUUCUCCCCCCAAAAAACAAGUAAACGCCCCUUGGCACAUGGGGCGGGGGGGGG